rnacentral:rRNA from 1 species
AGAGUUUGAUCCUGGCUCAGAACUAACGCUGGCGGUGUGCUUUAUGCAUGCAAGUCGAACGGACAUUAGCAAUAAUGUCAGUGGCGAAUGGGUGAGUAACACGUAAGCAACCUAUCUUUAAGUGGGGAACAACUCUGAGAAAUCGGAGCUAAUACCGCAUGUGGUCCUUAUGCAUAAGUGUAAGGACUAAAGCCGCAAGGCGCUUGAGGAGGGGCUUGCGUCCGAUUAGCUAGUUGGUGAGGUAACGGCCCACCAAGGCGACGAUCGGUAGCUGGUUUGAGAGGACGACCAGCCACAAUGGAACUGAGACACGGUCCAUACUCCUACGGGAGGCAGCAGCAAGGAAUAUUGGGCAAUGGGCGAAAGCCUGACCCAGCGACACCGCGUGGGGGAAGAAGGCCUUCGGGUUGUAAACCCCUUUUAUCGGGGACGAAUAAUGACGGUACCCGGUGAAUAAGCCUCGGCUAACUACGUGCCAGCAGCCGCGGUAAUACGUAGGAGGCAAGCGUUAUCCGGAUUUACUGGGCGUAAAGCGGGCGUAGGCGGCCUGUCAAGUCGGAUGUGAAAUCUCCCGGCUCAACUGGGAGGGUGCAUUCGAGACUGAUGGGCUGGAGUGCAGCAGAGGGAAGCGGAAUUCCCGGUGUAGUGGUGAAAUGCGUAGAUAUCGGGAAGAACACUAGUGGCGAAGGCGGCUUCCUGGGAUGUAACUGACGCUGAGGUCCGAAGGCGUGGGGAGCAAACAGGAUUAGAUACCCUGGUAGUC